UACGGGGGGGGCAAGCGUUGUUCGGAAUUACUGGGCGGAAAGGGUUUGUAGGUGGCUUGUUAAGUCAGACGUGAAAUCCCUCAGCUUAACUGGGGAACUGCGUCUGAUACUGGCGAGCUUGAGUGCAGGAGAGGAACGCGGAAUUCCAGGUGUAGCGGUAAAAUGCGUAGAUAUCUGGAGGAACACCGGUGGCGAAGGCGGCGUUCUGGACUGCAACUGACACUGAGAAACGAAAGCCAGGGUAGCAAACGGG
rnacentral:rRNA from 1 species